rnacentral:misc_RNA from 1 species
GCAGAUCACUUUAUUCAAAGGGAGCUUCAGAAACUAUAGAUUUUAUUACAACAUCUGUGGAGAUGGCAUAGAAGCUUAAAACAAAAUGAAAUUCUUCUUGGUGAUCGACUAUAUCCCAUAAUCAUAGUAUGAAGGUAAUCUUCUUAUCAUCUUCCUCUUCACAUCAGAACAGAAUUCAAAAAAAUAUCAACGAUUCAAGCACAGAGUUGCAAUCUGCAGCUGGAGUAUGUCAAAUAGCUUCUCUUUCAGCAACUAGAUUCUCCUAAGAAUUGAUGAGCCGUUCCAUAACCAAUUUGAGAACUCUAGGAGCAUCAACAGUUACUGCCACUUUUACCGAGGGUUUAUCAGACCAUUCACUGACUUCACCAAACCUCUUUUGUUUGUUAUAAAAUAGAGUCAGACCCCUUGUGAUGCCAUUUGUUUGGACACGAACCACACCUUCUGUAUAGGUGAUUAGUGAGGGAUCAACAGCAGCAAGCAGAGCAGUUGGAUCAUGAAGGUAAACACCUUUUGUGCUGUAUGCCUCGUGGUGAUAGCCAAAAUAGACACCCAAGAUCUUGUCAAGGUACUUGGCAUACUUUCCGUUAGACUUUGCCAACUCGUCUCGAUCAAAAUCAGUAAGGACAACUUGAUGUGUAACAUUUAUUCCAACUGCUAGAACAUCAGCACCGCUAGUAAAUACAAUAUCAGCAGCAUCUGGAUCUCCAAAGAUAUUCGCCUCAGCAGCUGGAUUGACAUUUCCGUUUACAGAAAAGGCACCACCAAGAACAACAAUUUGUCCAAUGUUUUUAACAAAAUCAGGAUCUGAUUGAAUGGCUAGUGCUAUAUUUGUCAAGGGACCCAAAGCUACAACAGUAAUCUUUCCGGGGUAUAGACUGGCUUGUUGAACAAGAAAGUCAGCAGCAUUCUGUUCAAUAGGUUUUCCAUUUGGUGCAGGAAAGUUUUGGUUUCCAAGUCCAUCCGUGCCAUGAACAAAAUCAGCAAUUCGAAGUUUUGUACCUUUAGUGAUUGUAACAUGAGAGCCUUCAGCCACCGGAAUAUCUGUCCUCCCAGCUAUAUCCAACAGAUGUAAAGCAUUUCUGGUAGCUAGAGUUGUGUAGACAUUUCCAUAUAUCGUUGUAAGCCCGAUCACCUCAACUUCAGGAGAUUCCAAUGCCACAAAUAUCGCCAUUGCAUCAUCAAUUCCAGGAUCAGUGUCAAUGAUGAUCUUCUUGGGUUCUGUAGCCAUUUUGUGAAUCUGAAUUGGAAGUUGAAUGGAUCUGGGAUCGGGAUGAUGAUGAUUGAUGAAUGAAGAGGAAAGUGGAAACUUUU